rnacentral:rRNA from 1 species
GAUGAACGCUGGCGGCGUGCCUAAUACAUGCAAGUCGAGCGAACGGACGAGAAGCUUGCUUCUCUGAUGUUAGCGGCGGACGGGUGAGUAACACGUGGAUAACCUACCUAUAAGACUGGGAUAACUUCGGGAAACCGGAGCUAAUACCGGAUAAUAUUUUGAACCGCAUGGUUCAAAAGUGAAAGACGGUCUUGCUGUCACUUAUAGAUGGAUCCGCGCUGCAUUAGCUAGUUGGUAAGGUAACGGCUUACCAAGGCAACGAUGCAUAGCCGACCUGAGAGGGUGGUCCGCCACAGUGGAAAUGAGAAACGGUGCAAAAGCCUACGGGGGGGAGCAGUAGGGAAUCUUCCUCAAUGGGGGAAAACCUGACGGAGCAACGCCGCGGGGGUGAUGAAGGGUUUCGGAUCGUAAAACCCUUGUAUUAGGGGAGAACAAAUGUGUAAGGAAAUGUGCACAACUUGACGGUAACAAAUAAGAAAACCACGGCUAACUACGUG